CAAAAUAAAAAGUUAUUUAAAACGGUGAACGACUAGUGAACUAAUAUGUUCCACAUGUCCACUAGGUGUGACAGGAGAUACUUGACGUGUAGUGGCUGGGAAUACAACAUUGUGGCAGGUUAGGCGGAAAAAAAAAUACAGUAAUGUCGAAGCUAUAAAAGGCUUUAGCUCCUCUGGUAAACUUAUAAGAAUGUACAAUCAGAGGAGUAUUGCGAGGAGGGGGUGGGGGAAAUGUGCCUGUGAGAUAACAAGGCAGGUCAUGGGAAGUGUGAGCUUAAAAGAGUAGCCCUAGGGCCUCAUAUAUCAAAGCUAAAGAUAUAAAAUACAAUAACGCAAGAGUUACAACAUAAAACCAUAAUUAAGUUAAGAAACAGUAAAUUAGAUCAGAACUCAGUCAAGAUACUGAUCUUUUCAGUGAGCCGCUGUUACGAACUGGCAAACGCUCACAGGAUUCCAUAUUGUUGUGGUAGUUGGAAGUGGAGAAUUAUGUGGCUCGGUGACCAGCGAGGACAGCCCAAGCUCCUGCAACAUCAGUUGACUUUCAUCUUGACUCUUGGUUUGGCAGAGUUGACACGAUUUUUAUGAAUAUUCUACCUUUAGUUUGAUAUUUAUUCCAAACCCAAGAUCCCUUGUUUCUUCUUUACAAGCCUGUCAUUUGCUACAUCUUUUAUACGGAAAGGGAAGGCCCCUAAAUUAGCUUAUCAGUAUUUGAUAUGACCUAGGGUUAAGAGUGUAUUAAAUUUGAAUCCAGGAUCCAAAAUAAGUUUAGAUUUAAAGGGACACUCCAGUGCCAGGAAAACAAAUAGUUUUCCUGGCACUGCAGGUACCCUCUCCUUCCUACCCCAUGUUGCUGAAGGGGUUAGAACCACUUCAGUGACUUAUCUGAGACCAGCCCCGAUGUCCCUCGGCGCUGGUAUAGGGUCCGCCCACACUCCUCCCUUGCCGACAUCAUCCGGCGGGGGAGACCUAAAGCCGGAGCAGGACGGGGACACUAGAACAAUAUAGGGGUGCUCAAGUAGGUGUGACGGAUCACCUAAAUAUAUAAUGAAAAAAUGAACGCUUGGCACUCUCCUUACAAUAAAUAUAAAAGUAUCUUGCCUGGGUGUUGUAUCCUUGGCGCCAAAUCACGUUACGUCACAGGUGUCUCCCAUCCACUUCCGGGUUGUAACGGGCAGAGACACUCCACUCCACUGUAUG